rnacentral:rRNA from 1 species
UACGGAGGGUGCAAGCGUUAUCCGGAUUCACUGGGUUUAAAGGGUGCGUAGGAGGGCAGGUAAGUCAGUGGUGAAAUCCCCGAGCUUAACUUGGGAACUGCCGUUGAUACUAUCUGUCUUGAAUACCGUGGAGGUGAGCGGAAUAUGUCAUGUAGCGGUGAAAUGCUUAGAUAUGACAUAGAACACCGAUUGCGAAGGCAGCUCACUACGCGGUCAUUGACGCUGAGGCACGAAAGCGUGGGGAGCAAACAGG